rnacentral:lncRNA from 1 species
CUUAUAUGAGGUCUCUAAAAUACUCAAACUUAUAGAAACAGAGAGUAGAAUGGUGGUUGCAGGAAAUGGGAAGUUGCUAAUCAAUGGAUAUAACAUUUCAAUUAUGCAAGGUGAAUUCUAGAGCUCUGCUAUACAAUAUUGUGCCUGUAGAUGACAAUACUGCAUUGUGCGCUUAAAAUGCCAUUGAGUAGAACUCAUGUUAGGUGUUCUUGCCACAGUAAAACAAUGUUAAUGCAUACAUAAUGAAAAUUAUUUUUUAAUUCAUGUCAAAGAAAAACAGAGAAGGAAGGAAAGAAGGAAGGAAGGAAGGCAGGCAGGCAGGCAGGCCUCUAUGAGAAACAUAGUUCCCUGGCCAGCCUCUAGCUGCUGUUUUUUUUGUGGGGGAGUGGGGAUGGAGUCUCACUCUGUUGCCCAGGUUGAAGUGCAGUGGUACAAUCUCAGCUCACUGCAACCUCUGCCUGCCAGGUUCAAGCGAUUCUCCUGCUUCAGCCUCCUGAGUAGCUGGGGUUACAAGCAUGAACCACCAUGUUUGGCUAAUUUUUUCUUUUUCUUUCUUUCUUUCUUUCUUUCUUUCUUUCUUUCUUUCUUUCUUUUUUUUUUGAGACAGAUUCUUGCUCCGUAGCCCGAGCUAGAGUGCAGUGGUGCAAUCUUGGCUCAUUACAACCUCCGUCUCCCAGGUUCAAGUGAUUCUCCUGCCUCAGCCUCCUGAGUAGCUGGGACUACAGUGGCGAGCCACCAUGCCCAGCUAGUUUUUGUAUUUUUAGUAGAGACGGGGUUUCACUGUGUUGGUCAGGCUGGUCUCGAACUCCUGACCUCAGGUGAUCUGCCUGCAUCGGCCUCCCAAAGUGCUGGGAUUACAGGCAUGAGCCACUGUGCCCGGCCACGCCUGGCUAAUUUUUUGUAUUUUUAGUAGAGAAAGGGUUUCACCAUGUUGGCUAGUCUGGUUUCAAACUCCUGACCUCAAGUGAUUUGCCUGCCUUGGGCUCUCAAAGUGCUAGGAUUACAGGUGUGAGCCAUCAUGCCCAGCCAGCUGCCAUUUUUGGAUCCACCUCAGUUCUCACACUGAGGCCACUUUCUGGUUUACUUCCACUCAAUGACUGCACACAGUAGGGGUACUAAGUGUGAGGUACAUAAUACACAGCCACUGAUUUAGUAAAUGCAUUUUUUCCCCUACUUCUAUCAGGAAAGAGACUAGAAAUAGUUCACAUCCAUGUGGGACGACAAUAUUUACUCAGUUUUGCCCCAAGAAUAAUAUUUGCUCCUUUGAUGAUAAAAUGUGAAUUAUAGGCUGUUAUAGUUUGGAUAUUUGUCCCCACCCACAUCUCAUGUUGAAUUGUAAUCCCCAGUGCUGAAUGUGGGGCCUGCCCAGAGGUGUUUGGAUCAUGGGGGUGGAUCCCUCAUAGCUUGGUACUGUCUUUUCAGUUCUCUCGAGAUCUAGUCAUUUAAAAGUGUGUAGCAUCUGCCCCCUGACCUUGUUCCUGCUUUCACCAUGUGAUGUGCCUGCUUCCCCUUUGCCUUCUGCCACGAUUGGAAGUUUCCUGAGGCCUCCCCAGAAGCAGAUGCUGCUAUGCUUCCUGUACAGCCUGUAGAACCAUGAGCCAAUUAAACCUCUUUUCUUAUAAAUUACCCAGUCUCAGCUAUUUCUGUAUAGCAAUCUAAGAGAAAAUUGGCACCGGGGUGGGGAAUUACUAUAAAGAUACCUGAAAAUGUGGAAGUCAUUUUGGAACUAUGUAACAGGCAGAGGCUGAAAGAGUUUGGAAGGCUCAGAAAAAGACAGGAAGAUGAGGGAAGGUUUAAAACUUCUUAGAGACUGGUUAAAUUGUUGUGACCAAAAUGCUGAUAGUGAUAUGGACAGCGAGAUCCAAGCUGCUGAGUCUCAGAUGGAAAUGAUGAAGAAAGUUGGAGCUUACAUUUAAAAGGGAAGCAGAAUAUAAAAGUUUGGAAAUUUUGUAGUCUGCCCAUGUGGCAAAGAAAGAAAAAGCUUUCUCAAAAGAGGGAUACAAGCAGGCUGUGGAGCAACCACUUGCUAGAGAUAUUUGCGUAAUUAAAAAGGAGUGAGGCCGGGCGCGGUGGUUCACCCCUGUAAUCCCAGCACUUUGGGAGGCCGAGGCUGGCGGAUCAUGAGGUCAGGAGAUAGCGACCAUCCUGGCUAACACGGUGAAACCCCAUCUCUACUAAAAAUACAAAAAAUUAACCAGGUUCAGUGGCGGGUGCCUGUAGUCCCAGCUACUCGGGAGUCUGGGGCAGGAGAAUGGUAUGAACCUGGGAGGCGGAGCUUGCAGUGAGCCGAGAUCGCGCCACUGCACUCCGGCCUGGGCAAAAGAGCGAGACUCCGUCUAAAAAAAAAAGGAGCCAGUGCUAAUGUGUCUGGAAUUGGUGGGUUCUUGGUCACACUGACUUCAAGAAUGAAACUGCGGACCCUUGCGGUGAGUGUUACAGCUCUUAAGGUGGUGUGUCUGGAGUUUGUUCCUUCUGAUGUUCGGAUGUGUUCGGAGUUUCUUCCUUCUGGUGGGUUCGUGGUCUCGCUGGCUCAGGAGUGAAGCUGCAGACCUUUGCGGUGAGUGUUACAGCUCUUAAGGCGGCACAUCUGGAGUUGUUCGUUCCUCCCGGCGGGCUCGUGGUCUCGCUGGCUUCAGGAGUGAAGCUGCAGGCCUUCGUGGUGAGUGUUACAGCUCAUAAAAGCAGCAUGGACCCAAAGAGUGAGCAGUAGCAAGAUUUAUUGCAAAGAGCAAAAGAACAAAGCUUCCACAGUGUGGAAGGGGACCCAAGCGGGUUGCCACUGCUGGCUGGGGCAGCCUGGUUUCAUUCUCUUAUCUGGCCCCACCCACGUCCUGCUGAUUGGUAGAGCCCAGUGGUCUGUUUUGACAGGGCGCUGAUUGGUGCGUUUACAAUCCCUGAGCUGGAUACAAAGGUUCUCCACGUCCCCAUCAGAUUAGAUACAGAGUAUCCACACAAAGGUUCUCCAAGGCCCCACCAGAGCAGAUAGAUACAGAGUGUCCAUUGGUGCACUCACAAACCCUGAGCUAGACACAGGGUGCUGAUUGGUGUGUUUACAAACCUUGAGCUAGAUACAGAGUGCCGAUUGGUGUAUUUACAAUCCCUGAGCUAGACAUAAAGGUUCUUCACGGCCCCACCAGAGCAGCUAGAUACAGAGUGUCAAUUGGUGCACUCACAAACCCUGAGCUAGACACAGGGUGCUGACUGGUGUGUUUACAAACCUUGAGCUAGAUACAGAGUGCCGAUUGGUGUAUUUAUGUCUAGCUCAGGGAUUGUAAAGGUUCUCCAAAGCCCCACCAGAUUCAGGAGCCCAGCUGGCUUCACCCGGUGAAUCCCGCACCGGGGCUGCAGGUGGAGCUGCCUGCCAGUCCCCUGCGUGCGCCCGCACUCCUCAGCCCUUGGGUGGUCGAUGGGACUGGGUGCCGUGGAGCAGGGGGUGGCCCUCGUCGAGGAGACUCGGGCUGCACAGGAGCCCAUGGAGGGGGUG